CGCACCUUGCGCCCUUUGGUAUUCCGAAGGGCACGCCUGUUUGAGUGUCGUGAAAUUCUCAACCCUCCCCCCUUUUGUUAGGUGGGGACGGGCUUUGGACUUGGAGGUUCUUGCCGGCCUAGGUCGGCUCCUCUCAAAUGCAUCAGUGCGUUCCGUUGUGACGUUACCUUUGGUGUGAUAGAUAUCUACGCCGCUGGUGGCUUCGCUGUCAAGGAUUGCGCGCUUACAACCGUCUUCGGACAGCUUCAUCGAAACUUGACCUCAAAUCAGGCGGGACUACCCGCUGAACUUAA
rnacentral:misc_RNA from 1 species